AGAAAAAAAAUCUGCUCUUGAAGGAGAACGCUGGGUCUGUCUUCCGAGACACUUGGCAUCAAUAACGGAUAACUGAUUCUGGAGACUGAGGAAACAAAUAUCAGCUCAAAAUGCGUACAGCCUUUAAAAGAUUUUCCAGGAUGCGGGUUUGGGAGAGAAAACCUAAGCACAGCCCAGCGAAUUGCCUGCGUUGACCGGUUGGAGCCGAAAGUUUGGGGGAGACCGAGGAAGGGGGAAGACACAAACUGAGUGCUUACUCCUGAUCAUGGUGAAUGGUGGCUGUUUUUGUCUGCAGUUUUACCACUUUUCUAGUGCUGCCACAAUCUGCUGAAUUCUCUUUUGUUCUCUGCAGCCUCCCGACACUCAAGAUUUUAAACUAAUGAAGAUGAAGAAGGAUGAGGAGGAGGAAGAAGAGAAACUAUUACAGAUUGGUCUUACAUCAUGGAUCCUGAUUCCAGAAGUAUCAGGAGCUCUUUCAAGAAAUUAGAUGAUCCAUCACCACUGCCUUCAUCCAAACAGACUAUUUAAGGUGCAAAGUUUAACAACUAGAGUUCCAAACACUUCAUAAUGAUUCAGCACAGUUGUCACACUUGGAUGCCCUAG